rnacentral:rRNA from 1 species
GACGAACGCUGGCGGCGUGCUUAACACAUGCAAGUCGAACGAUGAAGAAGAGAAACUCGAACUUCGGUUCAAGUUUCACUUCGGAUUGGUGGCAGACGGGUGAGUAACUCGUAGACAACCUACCUCUUACAAAGGGAGAGCCUCUGGAAGCCGUUAUAAUUACCAUAUUACACCUUCAUAAGACAUCGUAAGUAUGUUAAAGCUACGACGGUAAGAGAUGGGCUCGCGUCGCAUUAGCUAGUUGGUGAGGUAACGGCACCCCAAGGCGACGAAGGGUAACCGGGCUGAGAGGGUGAACGGUCACAUUGGAACUAAGACACGGUACAAAAUCCUACGGGAGGCAGCAGUGGGGAAUAGUGCACAAUGGAGGGAAUUAUGAUGCAGCGACGACGCGUGAGCGAUGAAGGAAUUCGUUACGUAAAGCUCAGUUAUAUGGGAAGAAAAGGACUGUACCAUAGGAGAAAGCCCCGGCUAAAUACGUG